rnacentral:rRNA from 1 species
GAUGAACGCUGGCGGCGUGCCUAAUACAUGCAAGUCGAGCGAACAGACGAGGAUCUUGCUCCUCUGACGUUAGCGGCGGACGGGUGAGUAACACGUGGAUAACCUACCUAUAAGACUGGGAUAACUUCGGGAAACCGGAGCUAAUACCGGAUAAUAUAUUGAACCGCAUGGUUCAAUAGUGAAAGAUGGUUUUGCUGUCACUUAUAGAUGGAUCCGCGCCGCAUUAGCUAGUUGGUAAGGUAACGGCUUACCAAGGCAACGAUGCGUAGCCGACCUGAGAGGGUGAUCGGCCACACUGGAACUGAGACACGGUCCAGACUCCUACGGGAGGCAGCAGUAGGGAAUCUUCCGCAAUGGGCGAAAGAUUAACGGAGCAACGCCGCAUGCGUGAUGAAGGUCUUCGGAUCGUAAAACUCUGUUAUUAGGGAAGAACAAAUGUGUAAGUAACUAUGCACGUCUUGACGGUACCUAAUCAGAAAGCCACGGCUAACUACGUG